GGAAAAGUAAGAAAGAAAAUGGUUCAAUGCUAUUUUAAAUGUAGUCUAUCUUUCUGCCAGUUAUAAAAAAAAAAAUAUUUAAAGACUAUUCUAAAAGAAACUGGAAAUGCAAUUUGAAAGUUAGUUGUUAAAAGCACUGAACAGCCCUGGUACCAGUUUUCCCUACCUUCUUUCACUGACUUUCUGUUCUUGCAAACUGUUCUCCAUCUCCGACACUAUUUCCCAUAUUUCCUCUAGUCAAUACGUGUCUCCUGAGGUUGGAUGUGGAUUCGGCUAUUCAUAAAGCCUACAAUUAAAACUGCAUCUCAAUUUUAAAACUCGUUUCUUCUUUGGAAGAAUUCUGAGACUCUACUAAUCAGUAAAUGUAGUGAAAAAAAGUAAAACAUCGUUCUGAGAGGGUCAGGCUUGUGCUGAGACCUCCCACAUCCUGCCUUAGUACUGGUUUCAUCAGCAAAGCUCGGAACGGAGCAGUAAACUCAGAGUGCAGUUUAGUGGGCACAGGAUUACGCGGCUCGCAGAGAAGCAUAAGCCUUUCGUUCUACCAUCACAGCCUAACAGGGAAAAAAGAUUGAAGGACACUUCCAGAAGGUUUGAUUGCUGCAGUUUCAUAAGUAUGUUUUAUUUUCACCUGAUGUUUGGCAGAUUGGCUCUCAGCAUGGACGUUAUCUC
rnacentral:lncRNA from 1 species